GGCACUCAAUAAAUUAUCUUGCUAAACCAACUAUGAUGUAAACCAACUUAUCAAGAUGAAUUAUCUUGAAUAGAGCACUCAAUAAUUAUCUUGCUAAACCAACUUUGAUAUAAACCAACUUAUCAAGAUGAACUAUCUUGAGUAGAAAAUCUAAAAAUUAUGCUCGAAAUUAGAUUACUGAGCAAGUUACCUCGCAAGCACCGGCCAGGUUGCAGGUUAAUAAUAAUCGCACAUGUAACCUUCUCAUAGAUGCAUCUUAUGUGGUAUACAUGGAAGGUGAAUGGCCCCAUAUUCACCUUUGAUAUUCUCAGAAUUUAUGGGAUUGAACCCCAACUUUAGUGGUCAAUUAAUUAAUGAGAACAAGUAAUACAAGAGAAUUCGUAAAGAAAUUUCUAGUUCUUUAAUAGUUACCCAUAUGAAUUCUCUGUUAUUGUUGCACAUCAUACUUAAAUUGAUAUGGCUAACCCGAAUGCCAACUGAAUAAAUUAUCAAUAUUGAUAAAUUUCAGGUUUACAUCAUGGCAUGUGCAAUUAUCGGUAAACUCUAAAUUUAUUAUGAUAUGGGUUUUUGUAUCAAUAACAUCCACUUUAUUGUGGCAUUCUUUUGUUUGUAUAGUACAAAUUGGAGAAUAAAGCGGGUAGCUUUUCAUAUACAUAUUAUCCCGCUACAAGUUGUAGUAUUAGAAGAUAUUAAAUGUUUUCUUUAUUUAUAGUCUCAAUAUAAUCAAUCGCUUUCGCGUAUACUUUGGAAACUGAAUACGUUUCAUUGAGACUUACUACAAUACAAUACCUUAUUGGUAAUCAAUGUGUUUUUCCAAAAUAAUAUAAUUGGCUCUUAC
rnacentral:lncRNA from 1 species